rnacentral:rRNA from 1 species
ACACGACUACAUUAGAUACCCCGGUAGUCCUAGCCGUAAACGAUACUCGCUAGGUGUCGGCCACGGUGCGACCGUUGUCGGUGCCGUAGGGAAGCCGUGAAGCGAGCCACCUGGGAAGUACGGCCGCAAGGCUGAAACUUAAAGGAAUUGGCGGGGGAGCACCACAACGGGUGGAGCUUGUGGUUUAAUUGGAUUCAACGCCGGAAAUCUUACCGGGACCGACAGCAACAUGAAGGCCAGGCUGAAGACUUUGCCGGAUUAGCUG